GCGCCCUUAGCUCAGUUAGGAUAGAGCAACGACCUUCUAAGUCGUGGGCCGCAGGUUCGAAUCCUGCAGGGCGCGCCA
rnacentral:tRNA from 1 species